GAUGAAGAACGAAGCGAAAUGCGAUACGUAAUGUGAAUUGCAGAAUUCAGUGAAUCAUCGAAUCUUUGAACGCACAUUGCACCUCUCGGUAUUCCGGGAGGUAUGCCUGUUCGAGCGUCAUUUGUACCCUCAAGCUCUGCUUGGUGUUGGGUGUUUGUUCCGCCUCUGUGUGUGAACUCGCCUCAAAACAAUUGGCAGCCGGCGUACUUGUUUCGGAGCGCAGCACAUUUUGCGAUCCAGAUCAACGUACAGCGGCAUCCAAGAAGCCUUAUUUAACGCUCUUGACCUCGGAUCAGGUAGGGAUACCCGCUGAACUUAAGCAUAUCAAUAAGCGGAGGA
rnacentral:misc_RNA from 1 species